GGAUGUGAGGGCGAUCUGGCUGUGACAUCUGUCACCCCAUUGAUCGCCAGGGUUGAUUUGACUGAUCUGGCUGGCUAGGCGGGUGUCCCCUUCCUCCCCUACUGCUCCAUGUGCGUCCCUUCCGAAGCUGUGUGCUUGGUUGAAGAGGACAACCUUCCCCGCUAGAGGAGGACCAGUCUUCGGUCAAGGGUACAUGAGUAGCUGCGCUCCCCUGCUAGAACCUCCAAACAAGCUCUAAAGAGAGAGAUCCCCCAUUGGCUGGUUCACUCCCCAAAUGGCCACAAUGGCCAGAACUG
rnacentral:snRNA from 1 species